rnacentral:lncRNA from 1 species
GUGGUUGAAUAGUUCACAUCAAAACAAAAUCUCAUCUGUAUGACAGAAACUCUGUUGUGUUGGGCUUUGAACAUAAUCCAAGAUACUCAAGACAGUAGCAAAAUUAGGCAUUUGGAAAAAUCAGAGUAAGAAAGGCAUUUUUCAUGCUUAUUUGCUUCAAAGGAUGCUCUGAUUUUGUUAAUUGCCUGAAAGAGUGCUUCGAUUUGCUAUUUUCUACAAACAGUAUUCUAAUCUAGUUUAUCCUCUGAGUUGCAGCUGUGUUCAAGUAUCCUAAUAGGUUUGGUGCAUGCUGAACUAUUCUUCUGCAAUUAAUUCACUUGGUUCUUCAUGUGAAAUGAUUUACACCUAUUUAGAAUUAAAUUGGAAGCCAUUCCACUCUUGCUUAUGAAGUUAUUAAGACAGCUUUUAGAUGACAUUAAUUUGCACUUAGUACCUUUUAUCUAAGGAUCUCAAAGCACUCUA